rnacentral:ribozyme from 1 species
UGUCCAGCAAAUCCUAUCCCUACAUCUUCGCGGUACUAACCGGGGUAAGAGCAACCUUAGGGAAGAUUGGGUAACCAAUCCCGGUGGUAACUUUGGUCGUAUGCUGACAGGGAAGG